rnacentral:misc_RNA from 1 species
UAUUUAACCAGAGAGCAGUUCGAAGCAAUAAAAUAAAUUUUAUUUUUAAUAUAUCUAAUUAUACUUGGCUUGCAAAUUCCAAUAUUCCGUCUCCCGUAAAUCAAAUAAUGUAAGAGCACCAUCAGAUCAAACAUGUAAAUUGUAAGAAAGAUGGAUAUCCAGUUGAAGGAAAUGGUUGCAAAUACGAUUGUUGGAAGAACACAUACUGCGACAAAGUCUGCAAAGACCUGAAAGGUGAAGGUGGAUAUUGUUAUAUAAAUCUGUCGUGUUG